CAAGAUAUGAGAGAAAAAAGCAGAAUCUGACUCGCCUUCACCUGACGUACAUUAACUCGAAAGCACCUCCAAAUCACUUAAGCCAUUAAGACAAUUGAAGAGGAAGAGCUUCCGAUCGAGGAAAUGAAAAAAUGCCAAAGGAUCCAAAGUUGCCCUAUUGGAGAGAAACCACCUUCACCCCAUAAGACUCAG